UCCUACGGGAGGCAGCAGUGAGGAAUAUUGGACAAUGGGCGCAAGCCUGAUCCAGCCAUGCCGCGUGCAGGAUGACGGUCCUAUGGAUUGUAAACUGCUUUUGUACAGGAAGAAACAGUUCUACGUGUAGAACCUUGACGGUACUGUAAGAAUAAGGAUCGGCUAACUCCGUGCCAGC
rnacentral:rRNA from 1 species